GAUCUGGAUAUCUGUUUCUUUCCCCAUUUUAGGGAAGUUUUCAAGCAUUAUUUCUUUGAAAAAGCCUUCUGAUCCUUGUUUCUAUCUCUUCUUUUUCUGAGACAUCUAUAAUGUGUAUUAUUGGUCACAUUGCUUGUGUUUCCUAAGUCUGUUAAGCUAUCUUCACUUUUUCAAUAAUUUUCUACUCUGACCGGAUAAAUUACCGUUUCCUCAAUUUUGCUAAUUUUUCUUUCACUUGUUUUAGUCUACUUUUAGACCCUUCUAUAUGUAGUUUUUUAGUUUAGUUAUUGUAUUCUUUAGCUUUGUGAAUUUAGUUUGCUACUUUUUUGUUUACAGUUUUUGAGGUAUACCUACAUACAAUGUUACAUUAGUCUUAGAUGUACAACAGAGUGAUUUGACAAUGCUGUACAUUAUGUAGUGCUCACUACAGGAAGUGUAGUUAACCAUCUAUCACCAUACAAAAUUAUUGCAAGAUUAUUGACUAUAUAUUUCCUAUGCUGUACUUUUACUAGUGACUUAUUUUAUAACUGAAUAUUUGUACCUUUUAAUCUCUUUAACCUGUUUAGCUCAUCCCCCAACCCUCUCCUCUGGCAAUCAUCAGUUCUCUGUAUUUAUGAGACUAUUUCUGUCUAUGUGUGUGGGGUGUGUGUGUAUGUGUGUUCAUUUCUUUUGCUUUUUGGAUCACACAUAUAAGUGAAAUCAUAUGGUAUUUUUCUUCCUUUGAUUUAUUUCACUUAUAAUACCCUCUAGGUACAUCUGUGUUGUUGUGAAUGGCUAGAUUUCAUUCUUUUUUACAACUGAGUAACAUUCUAUUGUAUAUGCAUGACACAUCAUCGUUAUCCAUUAAUCUGCUUGAUACAUUAAAGAAAAAAAAAAUUAGGGGCCUCUGGCUGGCUCAGUCAGUAGAGAGUGAGACUACUGAUCUCAGGUUGUAGGUGCAAACCACACAUUAGGUGUAGAGAUUACUUAAGAAUAAAAUAUUUUAAAAAUUUUUACUAUCUCUGUUGAAAUUUUCACUUUGUUUAUGCAUUGCUCUCCUGACCUUGGUGAAUAUGUCUGUGAUCAUUAUUUUGAACUCUCUUAUCAGAUAAAUAACUUACCUUUUAAUUAGAUUUGUUAACAUUAAUUAGAUUUAUUAGACAGAAUAGUCUCUUCUAGAUGAACCUCAUUGAUCAAUUCAGCCUAAGUUCCUAGUUAUCUUUCAAAGCUUUGUGAUGUCCAAGCCUUCUUUGUGGCUCUCAUUAGUCGUGGAUGUAGCAAGACUCAUCAGUGUCUGUACCAAAGGGGAGGAUCACAAUCAGCACCUAAUUACAGGCUGAUUAGAACCUUGCAUCUUAGGCAGCAGGUGGGAAACUAUAUAGUUAAACAACUUCCAGAGGUUAACCUGUGAUAUGGACUUUUUUGUCUGUUCCCUUGGAUGUGGGCCUGGAUAUAUGGCCAUUGGAGUGUGCUCCUAAACCAUUAAAAACUACUUUGCAAAGUCCUGUGGAACUUGUGAAUGCAAGCCCUCUUGGCUGUUAGAGCCAGGUGAUCUUGCGGCCUGUCCCUCAGGUGACUGCUACAAAAACUGGGGCACCAGAUAUGUGUAGAAAGUUCUUCCAGGGAUAUAAUGGUAAUUUGGUUUUAUUAUUGGAGUGGGAUAAAGGGAGAAGGUGUGAGAUGUGUCCACCCACUUCCUUGUCCUCUGUGGAAGAUUUCAGCCAGAUUCUAGAUGUUUGCCAGAUUAGAAGCCUGGCCCCCAGGCAGCAACUUUUAUAGUAUUCAGAUAAACCUCUUAUGGGAAAGCUAGGGAAAUGGGCAAUUUUAUUUUCUCCUUAUGAACUGAUAUCUGAUGGGAUAGCCUCUUAGAAAUUGCUUAUUUGUUUGCUACAGGCCUGUGGGACUUGUGAAUGGAAACCCUUUUAGCUAUGGAGUCAGACUGACCCUCAGUUCACAGCUAUGAAAGCUCACUAGACUAGUGAGAGGAGGCAGUGGUGUCUACUUCCCAGUCUGUGGGAAAGAUGAUGGCCAACCCCUAGAGCAUACUAAAUUAGAUGACUGGCCUUUAGGCAGCAACUUUCAAAUAAUGCAGGGAAGUCUUUUUUCAGAGAAAAACUGUGAGAUGGGCAAUUUCGCCUGUUUUCUCCUGGGCUGAUUCCUGGAUUGAUAGCCCUGAUGAAUGAAUGCUUGCAUGCCUGGUAAGAAUUACUUCUUUGUUUGCUAUACUCUUGUGAGGUUUUUGGAUGCAAGCUUCCUUGGCUUUUAGAGCUAGGGGUUUUGUAAACCCAACCCUCUCUCUGGUGGGAGUCUUAAAAGUUGGGGUGCUAGAUAUAAGGUUCAAGCCCUUUGCUAUUCAGGAAGUAGCUAGAAGUUGGGGGUUGCUUAAUGAUUGAUUGUUAUCCUUGGGGUUUGUUUAUGGUGACAGUGUGUCUCCGCCUGUACUACCUGUUUCCGUGUGGCGAGUUUCUCAUUUGUCCAACGUGUAGGAGUAGCUAGCUAGUUUCUAGAUCUCUUUCAGAGGAAAUUGCCCAAUAUAUAGCUAUACAUUCAGUCUGUCUGAGAAAGGAGAUAAGCUCAGGAGUCUCCUGAGUCAAAUCUUGACUGGUUCUCAAUAGUUUGAAUUGUGGUUCUCAGUCAACAUUUUUGCCUUUGCUCUAACAUUAUUUUUUUUUCCAAAUUCAAAGUAUUUUCUUCAAUAGUAUUUUUAAUAACGCAAGUUUAUUUGACCUUGGUAAAAUGCCUUACUUUAAUGACAGUAAAAAUAUUUACUUCUGCCAGAUCUUUUCCUCAGGUGUGAAAUCAUUAUUCAGGAGUUGUAUUUUAGUUCUUUGUGGACUUAGUCUUUCAUAUAAGGAUUGCUUAACUUUAAAACAGAACUAAAUUAAGAACAUAUAAUAGUGGAAUAUCAGAGAAAAUUUCAUUAGCUACACAAAUACAUAUGUCCUUCACUGUUUUUUUUUUCUUUAAAUAUAUUUUAGUUUAUUGAUUUCCAAUUUUUAUUAUGGUUAUUAAACAUAUUCUCUAUUAGUUGAAUGAUUUUUGAGACUUGGUUUUUGGCCUAAUAUGUGGUUGAUCUUGGUAAAUUUGAACAAAGUACAGUUGUUCUAAAAUCCUUGGCUAUAGUGUUUUAUAAAUGUCCAUUAGGAGAGGGUUGGUGGUGGUCACAUCUUCCAUGACUGAUAUUUUAUCUUGUACUAUAAAUUACUGAAAGAGUUGAAGUUAAAUUCAUCAGUUAUGAUUGUGAAUUUGUGUUCUACUUCAUGUCUUUUGGUUUCAUUUCACAUAAUUUGAAACUUUUAUUAGUCACAAACAUUCAUGAUUAUUAAUGUAUUCCUUAUAAUUUGACCCUCUUAUAUUAUAAAAUGUCUCUAUCUCUGGUAACAUAGUCUUGAAAUUUAUCUGAAAUCAAUAUAGCCACUCUAGCCUUCUUAUGCUUCCUGUUUGUAUGGAAAUCUUAUCUUUUUUUUUUUAGCCUGUAUGUUUAUAUGUAAAGCUUUGUCAUUUUAGAUGGCAUAUAGUUAGUAUAUGUUUUAAGCUUUAGCAGUUGGAUUAGUUAUUAAAUUUACAUUUAAUUUUUGAAACAAUAGAUUAAUAUCUACCAUUUUUAUCAUUUAUUUUUAAGUCUGAACUCUCCUGCAUUGUCUCUCUCCUGUUUGUUUUUGUUGUUGUUGUUGUUGUUGUUCUUUUGUUUCCUCUUUCCUACGUUCUUUGGUUGUUUGAAUUUCUUUUUCAGAAUUCCAUCUUUUUUUACCUUUUUAACUCUACCUCUUUAUAUAUUUUAGGGAGUAUUCUAAUGAUUAAGAUAUAGAUAUUUAAUUGUUUGCAAUAUUUUGAGACUAAAUCUUAUAUUACUUUACAAAACACAAGAAUCUUGCAACCAUAUAUGUCCAUUUUCCUAGUCUCUGACCCUUUUUAUGCUAGUUGUCAGAUAUCACAUGCGCCAUUAAUCCUACAGCCAAUGGUAAAAUUGUUCUAAGUAGGUAUAUUUUUGAAAACAUCAUUUUCAAACAAAGUUCAAAACAUUUUCAAAACAAAAAUUCUAUUUAUUUAUUAACCAGUUCCAGUGGUCUUCUAUCCUGAAGAUCCAUGUUGCCUGCUGUUAUUAUUAUCUGCCUUCCCAAUGAAAUUUCUUUAGCACUAGCACUACUGGUGAUAAUCUUUCUCUGUUUUCUUCUAUGUCAUAGGUUUCUUCUAUCUGAGAAUGUCUUUAUUUAGCAUUAAAAAUUUUUUUUUAAGUUUGUUUAGUUUUGAGAGAGAGACAGUGAGCAGGGAGGGGCAGAGAGAGGGGGAAACACAGAAUCUGAAGCAGGCUCCAGGCUCUGCGCUCUCAGCACAGAGCCCAAUGCAGGGCUUGAACUCAAGAACUGGAAGAUCAUAACCUGAACCGAAGUCAGAUGCUCAAUUGAACCACCCAGGUGCCCCUUUAUUUAGCAUUUUUUAAGCAUUCUUUAGUGAGGUAUAUUGUUACUGAAUAUAGAAUUAUGGUUUGACUUUUUUAUCCCUAGAAUUUUAAAGAUAAUAUUAAAGACAAUAUUGCAUAUUUUUUAAAUUUUUUAUUUAUUUGUUUUUUAACAUUCACUUUUGAGAGAGAGAGACAGCAUGUGUGGGGGAGGGGCAGAGAGAGAGUCCAGUUGCAGAAUUGAAAGCAGGCUCCAGGCUCUGAGCUGUCAGCACAGAGCCCAACAUGGGGCUCAAACCCAUGAACUGUGAGGUCAUGACCUGAUCCAAAGUCAGACCCUUAACCAACUGAGCCACGCAGGCACCCCUGUUUUUUUUAAUGUUUGUGUAUUUUUGAGAGAGAGAAAGAGAGUGAGCAUAGGUGGGGGAGGGGCAGACAGAGGAAGACACAGAAUAUGAAGCGGGGUCCUGGCUCUGAGCUUUCAGUGUGGAGCCGGCCGAUGGGCUCAAACUCACAAACUGAGAUCAUGACCUGAGCUGAAGUCAGAUGCUUAACCAAUGAGCCACCUAGGUGCCCGUUGCAUAAUUUUUUCAUUGAAUAUAACCACUUUCUUUGGAUUGCAGAAACAAAACUUUGGCUAACAAAGCAGGAUUUGAUACUUUAACAAAGGUUAUUUCUGAAGAGCUCUUAACAGUUUUAUUUGUCUUCCUCUCUGUUUCUCUUUCACAGUUUUGAUAAAAUGAGCUCCUUUGGCAGGGAAUAUAUAUAUAUAUAUAUAUAUAUAUUCUUAUACACAACGUUUUAUAUAAUAUAAUCAUACCAUGUUUUUCAAUGACUGGUUUAGCUUUCAUAUUUACAGUGAAAAAGUAAGAGAGUGUGUGGAUGAUUAUGUUAAGGAGAAAAACCAAGAGAAAGUGAUUAGGGUGAAUUGAUGAUAGAAAUAUCAUUUCAUUUAAUUAAUUGGUAACCCUACCAUUAUGGUCAGAGAAUAGAAAUAUGGAAUAUUUUGUGUAGUGUACACUAUUAUUAACAUUUUAUGUGACUUCUCUUACUGUAGAAUUAAUCUACUCUUGAAAUACCAUCUUUUUAUUGAAGAUAAGUGGGACAUAGGCAUGUUACAACUUGUGAAUUUGGGAAAUAUAAAAUUUUAUUUGAAUGGCAUUUUUUUGUCACUUUGGCAUGACUCCCACAUGUCAACCCCAUGACAAUCAUUCAAGAAAGUAAAGCUGUUGCAGUUUUUGCCAUGCAUACCAUCAAAACAUAUGAUUAUUCUAUGAUGUUAUGAGAAAUUUAGAAAUAAAAUUCCAGUGGACAUGUAAGAUAAAUAUUCCAUGUUUUUGUGGAAACAAAUGCUCAGGCUUGAGCAACACUAUGAUGUUGUUAUGUCUUAUGUUAAUGAUUCUUAAAUUCUGCCCAAUUCUACUUUUAUCUCUCAUCCAUCUAUCUACCUAUCGAUUUAUUUUCCAUAAUCUGUCUGUAGUAUAUCUUGACCUAUCAAUAAUCUAUCAUCCAUCUUACUCCAUCUUACUUGUUUACCUAUCAUCUAUCUAUGUAUCUGCCUGUCUAUAUAUCUUUUUUUAAAUGUUUAUUUAUUUUGAGAGAGAGACAGAGAGAUAGUGUGAGUGGUGGAGGGGCAGAGAGAGAGGGAGACACAGAAUCCAGGCUCUAAGUUGUCAGCACAGAGCCUGAUCCAGGGAUCUAACUCAUGAACUGUGAGAUGCUAACCUGAGCUGAAGUCAGACACUCAACCCACUGAGCCACCUGGGCACCCCUGCCUGUCUAUGUAUCUAAUGGCAGGAUGGAUAUAUAGUUAUAAGAGGCAGAAGAACAUAGAAAUGGAGGACCAAGGGAGUUACUUUGCAUGUGUGUGGACAGUGGUAACAGUGGUCUCUUUGGUGAUGAUGUACAGAAAGAGAAAGCAAAAAGAAAGCAUGACUACUGAGGGCCAUUAAGUCAGAGACCUACCCAGAAAGAAUUCUGGCCUUAUUACUAUACUUGAUUUCAGAAAAUCAGAACAAAGCUUCCUCAUCCUAUAGGCUGGAAAUGGGAAAAUUUAAACUAAAUAUAAUGACUCUGCUUUUCCUGCCUUCCAUAUUUUAAUAAUCAAGUUUUAAUUACUUGGAAUUAUUGCCUCAGUCUGUAUUAUACUAGACCAUGAAUUGGCAAAUCUUUUCUGUAAAGGAUCAAAUGACAGUUUUACUUUUUCAGGCUGUAUAAUCUCUGUUGCAAUUAAUCCAUCCUGCUGUUGUAGUAUGAAAGCAGAUAAACACAGUGUGUAAUUGAAUAAGUGUUGCCAUAUUCCAGUAAAACUGUUUACAACAGCAGCCUAUGGGCUUGAAUUACCAAUUCCUGAACUAUAGCAUUGGUUAAACAAGAACCUGAACUAUGAUCAGAUUAACUCAGACACAUAGUAAAAAUAUCUAAGAAUUACUUCUCCAUUUUAUUUUCAUUAAAAUUAUUUUCUCUCCUUUGCCAUAUUUUCUUCACAAGAGAGUCCUAUGAAUGUUACAUUCCACCAUAAUCUAAACAAUGUAAAACCAGCACUGUAUAAAGAAUUAGAGUGACAUGAACUCCUUUCCUGUUAUAACCAAUAAAUUAUAUUUCAAAAUUGAAUGUAUUUCUCUCAUAUUCCAUCUGUAAGUUUGCCAAGGAAUUUGUGACCAAAAUCUUGCCUGAUUUCUUUUCUCCUUCAGCAUAGUUUGAAUCAAAAUGGUAUCUCUGAGCUUUCUUCAUUGUAUCCAGCCUCCUUAUGCAAUGACUUUAGUCUAUUCUGAUUUCAUCUGAGCAGUUGUAAUUGUUUCAGCAUCCCAGAACAGGAUUCAUAUAUUCUAAAUCUAUUAUUUAACCUAGUUUAUAAAACUUGAAAUAGUCAACAGUACACGUUUUCCAAGUUUACUCUUGUUUUCUCAUGUUAAUUGCAUGGAGGGGUUAGACGAGAAAAAGUCUCUAAAAUCUGGUAACUUAAAAUUAUAGUUGGGCUAUUUCUGUUUUUGAAGUCAAAUAAAAUAUAUAUUUACUUAAAAUUUAUAUGACCAAUUUUGUGUUAAUAUUCUAUGAAAGCCUCACUCAGAUAAGCAUCCCAGUACAUAAUUGGGAUAUAGAUAGGAAUAAUUCAGAAAAGAUAAGCAUUGUGAAUGGCCAAGAGCAUAUAAUAUGCUCAACCAUACCAAUCUUUAUAACAAAUAUAUAUGAAGUAAUUAUAAAGUAUUAUAAAUAUAUAAUAAAAUUAAAUGUAUUUUUGCACAUACACACACACACACACACACACCCAUAAUGCAAUAAGUCAUCAAUUGUCUUUUUUCACCUAUCAGAUUAAAGUUAUAUCUGUUAACCAACCAUGGAAAAUUUGGCAGUCCUGGUGUUUUAUAAUCUUUCCAGGGGACAGUGGAAAAUAGAUGGAAAUUAGCACAUUUUGGCUAACAAUUUUAUUUUUAAAAAUUUACUUAAGUGUUCAAAGAUGUAUGUAAACUCAAGGAUAAUCAUUACAGCCUUAGUUGUACUUGUAAAAUUGUUAGUAACCUGUUUAUCUAAAGUCAUGAUUUUAAGUAAAUUAAUGUUGAUACAUUUAUUCAACUUGUUUAUAUUCUAUUCUAUCUGGUAAUGUAUGUUUAAAUUAAUUGGUGUGAAAACCCAGGCUUUAUAUACCCAUUAUUGAGUACCAAGUAUGUUUGAGGCAAUAACAUUGUAUUUCAUUCUUGUAAAAUGAUAUACAAAUGUGAUUGUGCAGAUACGGUCAAUAAACCAAUUUUAUAGGAAGAAUAUUUUAAAAUGUUGAUAAUGAGUUCUGGUCAUUAUUUUGCUAUUUCAUUUUUGUGUUUGUGUGUGUGCGUGUGUGUGGUUUCAAAUACAUGUAUUUCAAUUACAAAUAGCAUUUAUUGAGUUGUUAGUGUAGGUACCAAAUGCCAAGAUAAAUGCUUUCAUGAACUAUCUCAAUGCUAAUAGUAAUUGUACAGAUAUUUAUUACUUUUUAAAAAAUAAAAUAGAAACAGUCUGUGCUAGAAACUGAGGCUGAUUGUGUAAAUAGGCUGUGUUUGAUUAUGUGAUUCAUACUAUUACUUUCAACUUAAAAAAAAAAAAAACACAACCCUAUGGUAUAACAGCCAUUGGAAGAUAAUUAAAAAUGCUUGUAUUUUGCCUAAUCUGUUGAGUAAAACAAUGUUUUGGGGAAGAAUGCAUAUUUCUGAGGUUAUAUUCAUUUUCCCUGUGUUUUUAAGGUCAGAGCCAUAAGAAUUUUCCAGUGCAAUUCCUCAUGCUAAAAAGUAUAAGUAUUGAGAUAUUGUAAGAAUAGGAGAAAAUUAUGCCAAGAUAUUGGUUUGUGGAAAAUUCCAUGGUGUAAAGCUACAGACAAUGAUCUCUGGAAAUAUGGGGAGGCAUUGCUUAGGAGAUGGGAUACUGUCUUCCUCAGCAGAAACCACUUCAUAGAUAGAGCUCUGGGAUCCCAUGGGAGCACAGUUCAAAGUACAAACCAAUGGCCAACAGGAAGAGUGUCACUAAAUGGAAGAAACCACCUUUGGAAGAGAUAUAAUGAUAGGCAAUAUCCAAACAUAAAUACUGCAGAUAGUAGGGGGAAAGCCAGUGAGGAUCUCAGAGUGAAGAAACAAUCCCCAACUGAUAGAAACUUAAAUGUUAUAAUCUCAUAUUGGAAUAUUUUGUGUGUGUAAUUUAUGACCAUAUAGUCUGGAUUCUAAACUAUCUCCUUUGACUAUAUGUUUCAUAAUCAGUUCACUUUCCCCCAGUUAUCUCCAUUCAUUCUAACCCUUUUCUAAAGUGCACACUUCGUGUUUUGCAAGUAUAAUUAUCAACUCAUAGCUAAUAGCUAAAAUGUUGGCCAAAAUAAUAAAGAGAAUUGUGACAAAUUCUGCCUGACUAUGCCACAACAGUGGCUAGAUUAUGUUUAGAAAAAUUGGUUUAUAGUUUCUAACUUUGCCUUUUUAUCUUCUGGUAUUUUGAGGGGAAAUGGACUACUUAAGAUACUCCCAGCUGGGGCUCUGGAACAUCGUGGAAACCGAAGGAGGAGUAGAAGUACAGAAGGAGAAAGCUUUCAUAGAUGGGUCAAAGACUGGAACAACUUACCAUACUUCAGAGAAAAGAGAUGAACAGCUAUUUUGAUGCUUUUGAAAUCACACAGGAUUUGUGGCCAUUGAUGUCAGAAAUUUGGGAUUCUAGGCUCAUUAUUUCAGAGGCCCAAGGUAGAAUAUUUUUAUAAUAGGUUUCUCCCCCACUAGUGCCUAGUUUCUUAAAUAUUCAUUAUUAUUAAUUUCCUUCAUUAAGUAAAAAAAAAUCUCUUUGAAGUAACCUGAAUAAUCUCAGGGAAUCAUUGAUAUAUAUGCAAAUUAUCUUGUAGAGAUAAUUAAAUGUGCCAAAAUAUUUAUUUAUCUUUUUAUUACUGGAAAAUCAAGAGUAUUUUCCAAAUGUUUCUACUCAUAUUCUACUAUAAUCACACCUUUUUUGCUACCACAUUUGUAAAUACUUCCCCAUUACUCCUUGAAAUUUCAGUUGACAAUUUUUUUUAUUUUCCCAAUAGAUUUUAUGUAAUUUUAUUAGAAAAAUAUGCUUUUUUUGCCCUAUAUACAUUAGAAUUCCAUUAUUUAGAUACUAAAUAAACUAUCCAUUACACAUUUACUUUAUAAUUCAGUAGAUAAGAUUGAAGAAAAUAAGCCUGGCUAUGGAAAUGCUUAUUUGUUUGGGAGGAUGUUUGUCUGGAUCAAUGAUGAGCACAAUUGUCUGAGGAUGCUGAGGGACUCAUUCCAGAUGUCAAUCUGAGGUCCAGAUGAGUGGCCCUCUAAUAGGACAAAUAAGAGUCUCAGAGCCUGGCUGUAUUUGAUGAUCCUAAGUGACAACACAAUACCACUGUGAGCAUGCCUUUUAUUUCUUUUGGUGCAAGGCAUUAGCCUUCUAUCUCAUGAAGCAGUAUGAAACUUUAGAUAUACUGUAUGACCCAAAACUUGCUUCAUUUUGUUCACUUUGAAUGGAGAGUUGUACGUAGGUAUUAGUAUAUAGGAAAUAUGUUCUUAAGUAAUAAAUGAGGAAACAAAAGAAAGGUUGAAUUAAGAGGUCAAGCAACUGUGAUGAGUACUGAAAGUUUCACUAGUGUUGGCUGAAAGAAGGGAACACUGCAUACCUAUAUUAAAUAUUGACAAUGGAAUCAAUUUUAGUGUUUGUUAUUUUUCACUGUAGAAAUUUUUCAGAGACUGUGUCUUUGCUUUUCUUUCUGUCAUGUUUUUCUGAGUUAGACGGGGUGGAAUGAAGUCCUCCACUUCUAAGAAGAGCAGUGCAGUGGACAUGUCAGGCUUGCCAUCGGCCAAGAGAAGAAGGCCUUCCUGGCCCCCAAGUGCCUGUGGUUGGCAGGACCACCAGAAGAAGUGUGCCCCACUAUGGGCACCUUGCCAACGGGAGUGACCAGACGCAUUCCUUGGAAAGCUGAACAAAAUGAGUGAGAACUCCCUACCGUCUUUCUCAUCGAAACUGAGGUCCAGCACAUUGUCUGCCCCAGGGAAGGUGCAUUGGACAGGCCACGCUCUCCGUUGGUCGAGAGAAGGCCUCCCUGGCCCCCAAGUGCCUGUGAUUGGAGGGACCGCUGGAAAAGGUGUGCCCUGCUAUGGGAAUCUUACCGACAGGAGGACCCAUACGGUGCAGUGGACACACCAGGCUCGCCAUCGGCGGAGAGAAGAAGGCCUCCCUGGUCUCCGAGUGCCUGUGGUUGGCGGGACUGCUGGAAGAGGUGUUGCCCGUGACGGGCAUCUUGCUGACUGGAGCGAGAAGACGGUAAGCCAUCUCCGUAUCAGUUGUGCCGCUGGCUUUAGGCUUUCGCAAGCCUGUCCAAAAAGCCACUAAGGAAGGGUGCUGGCAGGACAUGUGGGGUUUUGAACCCAGAGGGGCCUGUCCUUUAAUGGCUCUGCACGUCCUGGGCCACGGGAAGACCCUGAGUCCUUCAGCUUGUCCCGCUGAGCCAUCUGGCCCACCAGGGUUGGCUGUGCAGGUGGCCCCGAAUGUGCUCGGAUCGAUGAUGACUCCCUCAACAGCAUUCCUUGGAAAGCUGAACAAAAUGAGUGAGAACUCCCUACCGUCUUUCUCAUCGAAACUGAGGUCCAGCACAUUGUCUACCCCAGGGAAGGUAAGCGUCAGGGACAGCAGGCUUCCCCUUGGUCACACUCCUUCAAGCACCAGCACCCACGGCCUCUGCCUAGGAGAGCCUCACGGGGGACUCAUGGUCAGGGAGGCAUUUACCACCUGAGCAGGGUUUCCAAGGCAUGCAGGUCCUGAGGGGAAUGGCCGGCGACUGGGGUCACUGGAGCAGCUGGUCCCCAAGGCCUUGGACUUGAAAGGCGUGUCUGUGGCACCAGCCUGGGGUAUCGAGGGCUGGGACCUGUGUAGGCCAGGAUGGCCCCACAGGCAUAAGCUCGUGGCAGUGUGUGUUGAGAGGCCAAGCAUGGCAAGCUUGCCUGGCCUGUGGGUGGGGGUGCAGAGGCCCAGCCCAAGGCAGCAGCGAUCCCUGGAUGAGCCCUUUCUUUCCCUGACGUAUGUGGAGCAGGCACCUACACUGGCUGGUGGGCUAAAGCAGGAAGCCAGGCUGCAGUACCUGCCAGCGUGGCAUCCUCAGCCCUACCAGGCGACAAACAAGGUGGCAAACAGUGCCAGCACUUCGUGCCCAGGGCAGAAUACAAGUUUCUGUGCUGGCCAUUUGCCUGGAUAGUAAUGGCACAGUCCAGAGAGGGCUGUGCCCUGGGAGACCGCAUGAGCCUGCUCAGCUCAAGUGUGUCAUAGCGUUCCCAGGUCUUUCAUGGGUUCUGCAGAGGCCUCAGGCCUCCUCUUGACGAUGGCAAAGUGUGGCUCCCAGGGCUGGCUUCAGGGUGCACGGGUGUGGCACGGCGGUCCCCCUCUUGAGGGCCCUCCUGGCUUCUUGACUCCUGAGGAAGGGUACCCAGUGGUUGUGUUCCUUGAGGUUUUCAGCAGGGCUCUGGUCAAAGAAGCUACCCCGGCCAGAGACCUUGUCUCCUUGUCACGGUACUGGUGAGGUGAAAGGGAUAUUCUGAGUCUCACUUGGACUCGGGCACAGUGCGUCUCAUGUCCUCUCUGGUGGGCUGCAGACUACUCUGCGAUGGCCUUGCGGUCAGGCACGGGCCUGCGAGGUCUGAGGGCAAGCCCAGUACCUCGGCCCCAUGGGCUAUUUGGAAGACAUCUGCCUCCCCGUGGGAAGGAGAUGUAUUCUCCUCUCAUUGUGACCCUGUCCUGUGGGGCUACACCCUAGCGCUCUCUGUGAGGGCCACGCUGGUGUUCCUGGCCUGUCAGAAUGGACCACGUCACCUACAGAGGGCCACAUCCUUGCAAAGGCCAAAGCCUGGGGGCAGCUGCUGUCCCUGGAGCAUCCUGACACUGAUGGGGGCGUCCGUUGGGAUAAGGGCAAUGAAGGGACUUUCUGUGAAAACAGGAACACACUCCUGAGGACGGGCAGCCCAGUGGAUGCUCGUUCCAUUGCAGCCUAGGGCCCUGGUGCCCACUGGCCCUGGACUUACUGACACCAUGGGCAAGAAAGCGCCCAUGGUUCGGUCGCAUUUGGCACCAUAUUCGGUGGAGGCUAGGACCAUGUAGCCUAGCCAUUCAGGGCAUUCAGGCAGAGUGGAGAAGAAAUGCACCUGUUGUUGUGUGGGUGCCUCGGAGGGCUCAGCUUUGGCUUCAGCCCCGUAGCUGCAGGCCAGGGUGGCUGGCCUAACUGUGGGUGGUUGUUAGGUUUUCCUUGGACCCUUGAGUUUCCAUCCUGUGCUGGGGUCCACAGUCCACAAUGACAGGGUGGCCAGUGGAGGAAGAGGAUGCAUGUGCGGGCCGAGGGCACUGCUUGGCCAGAGUGGCUUUGGGAGAGGGAAACCCUAACCAACGUUAGUGGCCCAGAGGCAUCCAACAUGGCUCCCUGGUGUGCAAGGCCACCAGUCCUGUACCAUUGUGUGGUGGGACGCCAGGGCCAGGAUCGGCGCACCAGGCCUGCUCUUGGGGGGCCAUAGGCUCAAACGGCGGAGCGGCAACACAUACCAAGUAAACCAACCUCCCAGUGACCUCAGACCCUCCAUAAACAUGAAGAGAUACAUGCUCGGGCUCCUACAGUCCCCUGAACCCACAGCGUCUUGCAUAUUUGCAGGCUGCCCCAAGGGACUGAGGAAAAGAACAGGCAGAGAGGCGCAAGUCAUGGUAAUGGAUUCCUUCUGCCCUGUGUGGAGACUGGACACCCUGGGUAAAUUGCCCAUGCCCACGGGCGAUUGCUCCACUUUUCUCAGGUGCAGUCGACAUGCCAAGCUCCCCUUCGAAUGAGAGAAGAAUGCAUCUCUGGCCCCCGACUGCCGGUGGCUAGUGUAUCUCCCAAAAGAAGUGUGCCCCACUAUGUA